rnacentral:rRNA from 1 species
CAACGAGCGCAACCCCUGUCCUUUGUUGCCAGCACGUAAUGGUGGGAACUCAAGGGAGACUGCCGGUGAUAAACCGGAGGAAGGUGGGGAUGACGUCGAGUCAUCAUGGCCCUUACGGCCAGGGCUACACACGUGCUACAAUGGCGCGUACAGAGGGCUGCAAGCUAGCGAUAGUGAGCGAAUCCCAAAAAGCGCGUCGUAGUCCGGAUCGGAGUCUGCAACUCGACUCCGUGAAGUCGGAAUCGCUAGUAAUCGCAAAUCAGAAUGUUGCGGUGAAUACGUUCCCGGGCCUUGUACACACCGCCCGUCACACCAUGGGAGUGGGUUGCACCAGAAGUAGAUAGCUUAACCUUCGGGAGGGCGUUUACCACGGUGUGAUUCAUGACUGGGGUGAAGUCGUAACAAGGUAGCCGU